AGUGAACGCUGGCGGUAGGCCUAACACAUGCAAGUCGAACGGCAGCACAGUAAGAGCUUGCUCUUACGGGUGGCGAGUGGCGGACGGGUGAGGAAUACAUCGGAAUCUACUUUUUCGUGGGGGAUAACGUAGGGAAGCUUACGCUAAUACCGCAUACGACCUACGGGUGAAAGCAGGGGAUCUUCGGACCUUGCGCGAUUGAAUGAGCCGAUGUCGGAUUAGCUCGUUGGCGGGGUAAAGGCCCACCCAGGCGACGGUCCGUAGCUGGUCUGAGAGGAUGAACCACCAGACUGGAACAGAGGACGGGUCCAGACACCUACGGUGAGAAGCAGUCGGGAAUAUUGGGCAAUGGGGGCAAGCCUGAUCCAGCCAUACCGCGUGGGUGAAGAAGGCCUUCGGGUUGUAAAGCCCUUUUGUUGGGAGAGAAAAGCAACAGGUUAAUACCCCGCUGUUCUGACGGUACCCAAAGAAUAAGCACCGGCUAACUUCGUG
rnacentral:rRNA from 1 species